CAGAACUUCACAGGCGCGUGGGGGUGAGGUGGUGCUGGAUGUGCAGGCAGGGGAAGUAUUUAGCUAGAGCCGUUUUGCUGUGUUUCUUCAUCAGUCAAUACUGUGCGCAACAAAUGGAUGGGCAGCCCGUGGCACUUCGCCCCUACAACACCGUGGGGAAAAAAAUAAGACAAAAAAUGGAGAAGAAAUGAGAAGCACGGGUGGGCAGUGAGGUGUCAGGAGACAAAUCUUUCCAGUGCAGACAAAUCCAUCUUCCCUGAAGUUUCAUCACCUCUAACACCAAUGUCACCAAGGGCGUAUUUGCACGGCUGGGUAUGCCCAGUCCCAAAGCAGGAGCGCCCGCCGCACAUCAGCAGCACUGUUCCCAUCCCACUCACACCUCGCUCCACAAGCAGCUGCGGCCUGGGGAGAGGAGAUGCUGUGCCUUGCUGCUCCUCCAGCAACUUCACAAAGUCAUUGCAAAGACACCCCUGAGAAUGCUGCUUUGCCCGGAGAUGCCGCGAUAUACAGAAAGCAGCCGAAUGGAUUUUCUGAAAGCAUUUUUCCUCCUUCUAAAGGCUCCGCUGCCAUUCUGGCAAAGUGUAUCCUUGUCAGUCAGCGGCUAACCUUGUCAAGGGGAAGAAAAGGCUGGGAAGUGACAGGUUUGACAACCUGUCGGAUGCCUGGUGCUCUGCUCUCCUCCCGAUCUGAUCGCUAUCAAACAUUAAACCACUGUUCCCCCACGCAGGAGUGCAACUCGAUGCCUGCGAGCCUCAGCCAAGGCUGAUAGCGAGCUGGGAAGCUGCCAGCAGCCCUGCUUCGCCCCUGCCUUGCGUGUCCUCCUAUGAGCUGAUCUCUGAACGUGUCACACCAGGAACGGUCCCUCAGGAGUCCCAGAUAGGUCACCGAAACCGUGAUUGGCUUUCAGGAAGACGAGAACUAGAGAUGGGUGGUGGAGCUGUAACUCUGCAAGGAGAGAUGAGGGUGACAGCUGCCCGGUUGCCAGCCUGCAGAGCCUCGCCUGCAAAUCGAACUCCGAGCUCAGAAACCCUGGAUGGACCACAAUUUCCCUCUCCCCUCCAGCAAAGCAAGCAGCCCCUCCCAUGCCACAUGUAGCAAACCCCAGCACAUUGCACAUCAUUCACUCAGUUCUUACACACCCACUCAAUGAGAUCAUCUCAACAUAAGGAAUCUCUUUCCGCGUGUUCAGAAGGGACAGAAUAUUUUAAUUCAUCUUUCUCCCCCCCCACACACAAAACCUCUGCUUUCCGGAGCAGCUUGCCUUCAAGAUUCAUGAGCAGAAGCAGCAGCACUGGCUGCACUACCCUGCUCUUGAUGCUCCUUAAUUCCACUGACGCUGCAGGAGACAACGGCUGAAUAGUCAGGAGGAAAAAGCAUCUUGCAAUCAGGAGCUUAGCUGCACUAAGUGAAGCAGGAGAUGCAGCACGUACCCAAAGAGGCCAUUAAGCCAACAGAUUCCAAGGACAGACUACAAGUAGCAAUUACGUUGUUCUUUCACAGCGCUAAUAUUAAGCUUAUGGAAAGAUGGCUCACUCUCCUCCCCGUGGGCUUGAGUCAAAACCUGCAUUUGUUUAACAUCAAUUUGUUUUCCAAAGACCUCAGCAGCAAAAGCAAGGUGCCUGCUGCGCAGCCCAGCUGCUUCAGCACAACGCCCAACAAGCAAGCGAGCUUCAGCAACAGGCAGUUUGGUGCUUUGAGUCCCAGCAGGCUUCUGAGCUCCUCACAACACUCUCCGUUCAAAUGCAAUUGCAAAUGGAAAGUAGGAAGUUCAGCACGUGCAGCAGCGAAGCCUCAUCAAGCACAGCAUCGCUCCUCUCCUCCCAUUAUCACUCUGUGCUGUGACUAAAGCUCCUCGUUCCCAGGUGAGCAGCUCUUACUGUGCCCCCUGAACCGCAGGGCCGGAGGGCACCGACAGAGGCAAAGGGAUUUAUUCACUGCACAGAAGCCGGGCAGCGCGAGCACGUGGCUCCCCGGGAGAAGGGGAGGGCAGGAAUCAAUGAGAAAUCAACAGUGAUUAAUGCUGUUUGACAAUCUUUUGCAUUAAUCACGUUUCCACGCUCUCGAGAAUGUGAAGUGGAAAAUCUAUAGUCAUAAAAAGCGUAAUUGGGAACGCUCUUUCUCCUCGCGCCAAGGCGACGGAAGGGGAAUCUGAAGAAAUAAUAAUUAUGAAAUGCUGAAUUUAAAUGAUACGCACAAUAGCACCUGCUCGUUGAUAGCAAACCUGCAGAGCAAACCGAGCCUGGUAUCCUCCCGCAUGCUGCAAAGGGCUGCUCUGACAACCAUCUCUUCAUCUGCUCCCUCAGCCCCACCAUUAACAACCUGAUAAAGAAUUCAUAAACACACACACACCUCGCACAAGUUAAAAUACAGCCAUAACAAAGAGUCAAUCACUCUUUCUGGAGAACAAGCUACGAGAUGCCACAGAAAGCAAUGAUGUCUUCAUUGGCUUUUACAGUAAACAUCCCUCUCGGAAAGCAGCCUUUAUGACCCAACCAAGGGCAAUAAAGAUGUCUUUGCAAAUUGAUGAGACAAAUACUUCAGAGGCAUAGUUUCCUCCAUAGCUAGCGUGAAACGGAGGGUAAUGCCAUUCUCUACAGUCACAGAGCAGAAUAAAGACCUUCAUCCUUCUUGUGACGAGCCCACACCUGGACAAAGUGAGGGUCAAGCACAGUGAGGGUGUUAAGCACACUGCCAGUACAGCUGUGUGCUGAAGCUUCACGUGGAACAGUGAGGGCCAUUCGCUGUGACAGCUUUUCACCACGAAUUGCAAAGAGUUCCAGAGCUGCACAACAAAUAACAGGAAAGGAAAGCAGAAAGAAAAUGAGGAGCAUCUGAUACACAGCAGAGCUGAUCCGAGAUCCUCCUUGUGCUAACAAGGUAUGAUGCUGACCAACCACAUUAUACAGAAAAGCCAUUUUUCAGCAAGGACCGAAUUACCAGAAGCUGAAGAAAUUAAAUUUCCACGUCUAAACUUGUAGUCUUAAAAUCGAGUUUUAUCCAAGCUCUUCUGCUAGCAUCAAAACCAGAUACCUUUGAUACAUCUGUAGACAGAAGCACACCAGUGC
rnacentral:lncRNA from 1 species